UACGUAGGGUGCAAGCGUUAAUCGGAAUUACUGGGCGUAAAGCGUGCGCAGGCGGCUCGGAAAGAAAGAUGUGAAAUCCCAGGGCUUAACCUUGGAAUGGCAUUUUUAACUCCCGAGCUAGAGUAUGUCAGAGGGGGGUAGAAUUCCACGUGUAGCAGUGAAAUGCGUAGAGAUGUGGAGGAAUACCGAUGGCGAAGGCAGCCCCCUGGGAUGAUACUGACGCUCAGGCACGAAAGCGUGGGGAGCAAACAGG
rnacentral:rRNA from 1 species